rnacentral:tRNA from 1 species
GGUCGGCUAGGCAAACCUGGCAAAGCCGCCGAGUUCAAACCUCGGUGUGUGCGAGUUCGAUCCUCGCGCCGACUAC